ACUCGGCAAAUUACCCCCGUAACUUCGGGAGAAGGGGGGCCACAGACUGUCAUACCCCACGCGGGUGGCAGCAGUAGGUGGCCGCAGAGACCAGGGGGAAGCGACUGUUUACUAAAAACACAGGUCCGUGCGAAGUCGUAAGACGAUGUAUACGGACUGACGCCUGCCCGGUGCUGGAACGUUAAGGGGACCGGUUAGUCCGCAAGGGCGAAGCUGAGAACUUAAGCGCCAGUAAACGGCGGUGGUAACUAUAACCAUCCUAAGGUAGCGAAAUUCCUUGUCGGGUAAGUUCCGACCUGCACGAAUGGCGUAACGACUUCCCUACUGUCUCAACCACAGGCCCGGCGAAAUUGCACUACGAGUAAAGAUGCUCGUUACGCGCGGAAGGACGGAAAGACCCCGGGACCUUCACUAUAGCUUGACAUUGGUAUCCGAAUUUAAUUGUGUAGGAUAGGUGGGAGGCUUUGAUCCGCGGACGCCAGUCCGUCGGGGAGCCAACGUUGAAAUACCACUCUGUUGACUUUGGGUAUCUAACUUCGGACCGUGAUCCGGUUCAGGGACAGUGUCUGGUGGGUAGUUUAACUGGGGCGGUUGCCUCCUAAAAUGUAACGGAGGCGCCCAAAGGUUCCCUCAGCCUGGUUGGCAAUCAGGUGUUGAGUGCAAGUGCACAAGGGAGCUUGACUGUGAGACUGACAGGUCGAGCAGGGACGAAAGUCGGGACUAGUGAUCCGGCACCUGCGAGUGGAAGCGGUGUCGCUCAACGGAUAAAAGGUACCCCGGGGAUAACAGGCUGAUCUUCCCCAAGAGUCCAUAUCGACGGGAUGGUUUGGCACCUCGAUGUCGGCUCGUCGCAUCCUGGGGCUGGAGUAGGUCCCAAGGGUUGGGCUGUUCGCCCAUUAAAGCGGCACGCGAGCUGGGUUUAGAACGUCGUGAGACAGUUCGGUCCCUAUCCUCCGCGCGCGUAGGAGACUUGAGAAGAGCUGUCCCUAGUACGAGAGGACCGGGACGGACGAACCUCUGGUGUGCCAGUUGUCAUGCCAAUGGCACGGCUGGUUAGCUACGUUCGGAAGGGAUAACCGCUGAAAGCAUCUAAGCGGGAAGCUCGCUUCAAGAUGAGGUCUCCCACCCCUUAGAGGGUUAAGGCCCCCAGCUAGACCACUGGGUUGAUAGGCCAGAAGUGUAAGCCUGGUAACAGGUUCAGCCGACUGGUACUAAUAGGCCGAGGACUUCGG
rnacentral:rRNA from 1 species